UCGAACACAAAAUUUUCUUUCGUCGAACCAAGUGCGAGAGGCUACGAGAACACCCGCCAUUUACAAUCGCUAGCAUUUGCAGACAAUCGCGUUCCACCGCUAGCCGCCAGAGUUACGGAUUCAGAGAAAGAGAGGUUCAUCGUUUCUAAACGCUCUCCGAGGCAACGAUCAUCGUCGUCUUCUGUUUCGAAGCCUCAAUUGCAAUGCUCUGUUUUGGCUCUGUUUCGCAGCCAUAAAGCCUUGAAGUAAUUGGACUUUGCUCGAUCCUACUUCUGCAGUGUCAAACGCCGGCGACUAAGUUUGGAAAUUCUGGUUCUCUGUUCAAUCGGGUGUUCCUGGUCAUUGCAUUUACCAGAUAUGUUGAUUACAUAUUUAAAGAAAAGCAGCUUGUUCAAAAACCAAGCCUCAGAAUUUGGAGCACAUCCAUGAUGUCGUUUGGCUGUCGGAUAUGAGGGAAAGUAAGGAAAAUCUUGAAUAUCUAAAAGAGCCGGACCAACCACUCAUAGUAAAUAAAAGUAACACCAAUGAUGAGAUUCAAGAAGCUCUCAAAGAAUUGAUGGAUACACAUGUAGUGAUCCCGAGGUUGACGGCAACAUCCAACCGAAGUCGACCAAGGACUUUGAUCCUCCAGCUAAACUGCUCUCAAACAAGUGUACCUUAAAAUGCACCAUCGCGGACUCCAUUACCUCUAUUUUACUUGGUUUUGCAGUGAUAAGCGAGGCGAUGCCAUAGGUAAAGGAGCUAAAGAUAACCGAUGAGCAGUUUAAGGUCGUGACAGGGAUCCUCAAUUUGUUCUUGCUCCUCGGGUUGGUGAUUGUAGGGAAAAUAUCCAACUGGAUGAGCCGCCACGAUCCAAUUGGCGAGACCCAUUUUCUUCUUCGGGUCCCUCCUCAUGGGCUUUGCCUGUGACUUCACCUUCUUACUAUUGGGCCUCGCCAUCGCUAACAUUAGCGUUGACGUCACCCUCAUGAUCGCCUCUGACUGCUCUCACUGCUGCUUCACCUCCUUCCCUAGGGCACUAAGUCUUUUUCUUUCUUUUUUUCCAUCAAUUUUGUAGCAUCUUUUUCAUUUUUCUAUUUGUCAUUAAUUUUUAUAUUAUUUAUGUUGAACAUGCAAUCUUCUUAUUUCGGGACAAAUUAAAAUUAGAAAGGUGAUUGUUGCUUAUACAUCGUUUCGAUGGUUUAGUUGU